rnacentral:rRNA from 1 species
GACGAACGCUGGCGGCGUGCUUAACACAUGCAAGUCGAACGGUGAUCCCCUGCUUGCGGGGGUGAUUCGUGGCGAACGGGUGAGUAUUACGUGAGUAAACCGCGCUUGACUCUGGGAUAUGACUGGAAGACCGGGGCUAAUACUGGAUACUACUUCCUGCCGCGUGUUGGGGGGUGGGAAGGGUUUUACUGGUUUUGGAUGGGCUCGCGGCCUAUCAGCUUGUUGGUGGGGUAGUGGCUUACCAAGGCGACGACGGGUAGCCGGCCUGAGAGGGUGACCGGCCACACUGGGACUUAGGCACGGCCCAGACUCCUACGGGAGGCCACAGUGGGGAAUAUUGCACAAUGGGCGGAAGCCUGAUGCAGCGACCGCGCGGGUGGGAUGACGGCCUUCGGGUUGUAAACCUCUUUCAGCAUGGAAGAAGGCAUAAGUGACGGUACCUGGAGAAGAAGCACCGGCUAACUACGUG